AAUUACGGACAACCGAAAGCAGCAGCAGCGCCGGCAGUAGUGCGGAGAACACCUUUAAAUGGAGCAGACAGAGGAGUGGAUAAAAUGACCACCUUAUCAUCGGGGCCAAAAAUACUGCUGCAGUCGGAUGGAGCGAAGAGGCAGAAUUCCAUCUACAUGUUGCAUUUCUAUGUAAAAGUCACACAAGUUAAAAGAAGUCCUGUUCAAACACCAACGUACAAAUAUAAUCUUUUGAUCACAUCAAAUGAUGCUCAGAUGACACUUUUUGUAAAUCUCAUAUUUGUGAUAGAAGUGAUCCUUGUGUGGGACAACUUAAAAAAAAAAUACAAA